UUGGAGGGCAAGUCUGGUGCCAGCAGCCGCGGUAAUUCCAGCUCCAAUAGCGUAUAUUAAAGUUGUUGCAGUUAAAAAGCUCGUAGUUGAAUUUCGGGGUUAGUAGGUUGGUCAUGCCUCUGGUAUGUACUGGUCUCACUGAUUCCUCCUUCCUGAUGAACCUUAAUGCCAUUAAUUUGGUGUUUUGGGGAAUUUGGACUGUUACUUUGAAAAAAUUAGAGUGUUUAAAGCAAGCUAACGCUUGAAUACAUUAGCAUGGAAUAAUGAAAUAGGACGUUCGAUCCUAUUUUGUUGGUUUUUAGGAUUGACGUAAUGAUUAAUAGGGAUAGUUGGGGGCAUUAGUAUUCAAUUGUCAGAGGUGAAAUUCUUGGAUUUAUUGAAGACUAACUACUGCGAAAGCAUUUGCCAAGGAUGUUUUCAUUAAUCAAGAACGAAAGUUAGGGGAUCGAAGACGAUCAGAUACCGUCGUAGUCUUAACCAUAAACUAUGCCGACUAGGGAUCGGAUAAUGUUAAUUUUUUAAUGACUCAUUCGGCGCCUUACGGGAAAC
rnacentral:rRNA from 1 species